rnacentral:lncRNA from 1 species
GCUUAAAGAAUUACCCAAGGGAUUCUAAGUGGGCCUAAGGUGGUUCCUAAGUGGGCCUAAGGUGCCUAAGUGGGCCUAGGGUGGUGCCUAAGUGGGCAUAAAAUGGUGCCUAAUGAGCCUAAGUGUAUCUAAGUGAACCUAAGGUGCCUAAGUGGGCCUAGGAUGCCUAAGUGGGCCUAGGAUGCCUAAGUGGGCUUAAAAUGGUGCCUAAUGGGUCAGGUGUGUCUAAUGGGCCUAGGGUGUAUUAAGUGAACUAUGUACUAAGUGGGCCUAGGGUGGUACCUAAUGGGCCAGCUGUGUCUAAGUGGGCCUAAGGUGUACUAAGUGAACCUAAGGUGCCUAAGUGGGCCUAGGGUGGUGCCUAAGUGGGCCUAGGAUACCUAAGUGGGCUUAAAGUGGUGCCUAAUGGGCUAGGUGUGUCUAAUGGGCCUAGGGUGUACUAAGUGGGCCUAAGGUGGUACCUAAUGGGCUAGGUUUGUUUAAGUGGGUCUAAGGUGUACUAAGUGAACCUAAGGUGCCUAAGUGGGCCUAGGAUGCCUAAGUGGGAUUAAAGUGGUGCCUAAUGGGCUAGGUGUGUCUAAUGGGCCUAG